rnacentral:rRNA from 1 species
CCUANGGGCGGCAGCAACUGGGAAUAUUGCGCAAUGGACGAAAGUCUGACGCAGCGACGCCGCGUGAGGGAUGAAGGCCUUCGGGUCGUAAACCUCUUUUGACAGGGAAGCCUUUCCACGCAAGUGGAGAGGGACGGUACCUGUAGAAUAAGCACCUGCUAACCACGUGCCAGCAGCCGCGGUAAUACGUGGGGUGCGAGCGUUAUCCGGAUUUAUUGGGCGGAAAGAGUUUGUAGGCGUUUUCUUAAGUUUCGUUUGAAAGACCGAGGCUCAACUUCGGGACCGGACGAAAAACUAAGAGAAUUGAGUCUGUUAGGGGGUACUGGAAUUGAUAGUGUAGCAGUGAAAUGCGUUGAUAUUAUCAAGAACACCAAGGGCGAAGGCAGGUACCUGGGACACGACUGACGCUGAGAAACGAAAGCUAGGGGAGCGAAAGGGAUUAGAUACCCUGNUANUC